rnacentral:tRNA from 1 species
GGAGAGGUGGCCGAGUUGGCUGAAGGCAACGGUUUGCUAAACCGUCGUACGGGCUUAAACCCGUACCGAGGGUUCGAAUCCCUCCCUCUCCGCCA